rnacentral:misc_RNA from 1 species
CAAACUCAAAGUUUUUAACUUCAAAACCCAAUGUGAACCAAACCUUUUUUUCGCUUCGGUAGCAGGCACCUGAACCGCUCUUACGCAAGUUUGAACGGUUCCUGUGUCGUAAGCCUGCCGGCAGCACAAUUAUAAAACUCGCUUUUGAACCUGUCUUUGAACAUCAUUUACGAAUGAAAAUCA